GUGACCCCACCUACAGGGAACUCAUAGAACAGCUACAGAACAAGCCUUCAGACCUGGGCACGAAACUACAGGAUCCCCAGGUCAUGACUACUCUCAGUGUCCUCCUUGGGGUUGAUCUGGGCAGCAUGGAUGAAGAGGAAGAAGCAGCAACACCUCCACCCCCACCACCUCCCAAAAAGGAGGCCAAGCCAGAACCAAUGGAAGAAGAUCUUCCAGAGAAUAAGAAACAGGCAUUGAAAGAAAAGGAGUUGGGAAAUGAUGCCUACAAGAAGAAAGAUUUUGACAAGGCCCUGAAGCAUUAUGACAGGGCCAAGGAACUGGACCCUACUAAUAUGACUUACAUAACUAAUCAAGCAGCUGUGCACUUUGAGAAGGGCGACUAUAACAAAUGCCGGGAGCUCUGUGAAAAGGCCACUGAAGUGGGCAGAGAGAACCGAGAGGACUACAGGCAGAUCGCCAAAGCUUAUGCCCGAAUUGGCAAUUCCUAUUUCAAAGAAGAAAGUUACAAGGAUGCUAUCCAUUUCUAUAAUAAGUCUCUGGCAGAACACCGAACUCCAGAUGUGCUCAAGAAGUGCCAGCAGGCAGUGAAAAUUCUGAAGGAACAAGAGCGACUGGCUUAUAUCAACCCUGACUUAGCUUUGGAGGAGAAGAACAAGGGCAAUGAAUGCUUCCAGAAAGGUGACUACCCCCAGGCCAUGAAGCACUAUACAGAAGCCAUUAAAAGGAACCCAAGAGAUGCCAAACUGUACAGCAACCGAGCUGCCUGCUACACCAAGCUCCUGGAGUUUCAGUUGGCACUCAAGGACUGUGAGGAGUGCAUCCAGCUAGAGCCCACCUUCAUCAAGGGUUAUACACGGAAAGCAGCUGCUCUGGAAGCCAUGAAGGACUACACAAAAGCCAUGGAUGUGUACCAAAAAGCGUUAGACCUGGACUCCAGCUGUAAGGAAGCAGCAGAUGGUUACCAGCGCUGUAUGAUGGCACAGUACAACAGACAUGAUAGCCCUGAGGAUGUGAAACGGCGGGCCAUGGCUGACCCUGAGGUGCAGCAGAUAAUGAGUGACCCAGCCAUGAGGCUCAUCCUGGAGCAGAUGCAAAAGGACCCCCAGGCUCUG